UACGUGGUUUCAUACGCCUGAUAGCCUGUUUAACUUCCUGAGAUUGAGUUAAGUAAGGUUUUGAGGUUAAAGGCUGAUUAAGUUUAAUUGUAAGGUCUCUGUAUAUUCUGGCAUUAAAUUGCGGGUCACAGGAUUCGAUAUUAAGUUGAAAGGCUAAUUCAAGGGUAUUCGCGAAGGCUUGUGCUUUGUCUGUCGGUGUAAAAGCGAACCCAGUGCGUGUUUGUAGCGGAGGUAUUUUAUCUAUCUUAUGAAGGAAUCGCUUUGUCAUACUCCAGGUGCUACCAUCUUGCACCUGUAGCUGAGAGACUUUCGUCUCCCAUUGGCUGCUCCUCCAUAGAGUUAUUUCAUCGGUAAUUAUUUUCUGUAAUUCAUUAAUUCUCGCUUUAAUGUCGCGCUGCCUACGUCGAGUAUAUUCGCGCCUUAAUCUAUUUUUCUGAGAAAUUAAAUCCCUAAUAUACACCGGCAGUUCAUCUUGCUUAAAUCUAACCACCUUUUCUGGGAUGCACGAGUUAAUUGCAGUUUGAAUUUUAACUGUAAGUUCAGUGACUGCUGAUUCGAUGUUAUCUUUUGUUUUGAAGUUGGCAGCAUCGGCUGCAGGCAAAUUAUCGACUAAAUACGUCUGAAAGCCUCUCCAGUCAGCUUUCUUGUAGUCUUUAAUUUUUCUCGGAGGACUGAUGUCAGUGUCCACGUCAUCGAAUAGUAGAUGUACUGGAAAGUGGUCAGACGACAUUUCGUGAAAGACUCUGAGUUCGAAUCCCGUUUGAACUCUCUUAUUUAAUGCAAUAUCUAAAAUAUCGGGGUUGUGCCUUAGUACUCCGCUAUCGUGAGUGGGCUCUGAGGGAGCAUGUACUUGAUAAUUUUUGUUAGACUCGUGUCUUUGCAGCAGUAGGCCAUUGGCUGUAUUGCUCCGACAGUUCCAGUCUUUAUGUUUGGCAUUAAUAUUGCCGACUGCUAGGAAUGUGGGAGCUGAGCCAUAUAAGAUGUCCAGCUCGUUUUCAGUUAGUGACCUGCCCGGUGGUGCAUACAUCGAAAUAAGCACAAUUUGUUGUUUAUUGACUUUAAAAGUAAUUGCCACAGCUUCUAAUUUAUUAAAUUCAGGUAAAUGAAAUUCACUAUGUUGUAUACUUCUGUGGAUUAGUAGGGCAACCCCUCCACUUCUGGUAUCGCGGUCGCGCCUAUAAAUAGUGUAAUUUAAGAUAGUUAGACGAUCUGUUGGAAUUAAGUGUGUUUCGUUUAUCGCCGCGAUUCUAAUAUUAUGUUUAAUUAAAUGAUCGGUAAAUUCGAUUAUUUUAUUUCUAAUUCCUCGCGCAUUCCAGUAAAGGAUGGUACUUAAUCUACUGUCUACGGGGGUAGUAUUAAUGGCAGAACCUAAAUUAAGGGUGUGCAGCAUUAAAGCUGGCCGCUAAUGCUGUCACGAAGCCCGUGGUGGCUUUUAUUUUGUCCUCUAUUGACUUGGACGGAUUACACCAAAUAGCCAUUAAAAUGCACAUUGGUUCCAGGACGUGUGCCAGGUUAGGGUCCUGUGUAAUGGCAUCCGAUUGGCCUACGAGCUUCAGAAAGUCGCUCGCGUCCAUCGCUGGCUUCUCCGCGGGAUUUAGCUGCGGUGAAGCAGUUGGCAUUACUGUUGGUGAGUCAGUCUGCAACGGGCUGGCUUGUUAUAAGUUGCGAUAAAUAACGAAGGUUUGCGAAGAAUAUCGCAGGAACCAGCAACGUGAUUACGAACACAUCGUGUUUCGUUAAACUUCGAAUAUUGAUGACGUUGUGGCGGUAUAUAUCGCAAACUUUGAUUACGAGCACACUUUUCAAGUGAUAUUUAUCGCACCGGAGCUACGUUAUAUAUCACGGGCAUUUCAAGUGGUGAUACGAAGCGAUUGUGAGGUUCUACACAAUGGCCUUUGCUGCCUUUCUGCUAAAUAUCGAACUGGAGGAGAAGGCAGAGAAGAUUGUUAAGAAACCAUCAAAAUCCCUUCGAAUUGUUAGAUUGCACCCUCAUAGCAGUUGGAAAACCUUAGAAAAUGAAGAAACAUGAAGAAACGAGCUAUGCAAUUUAAUAAAUACUUUGUUAUCAAGUUUGUUGCAUUUAUUAAAGAAAUUGUGAAAAUAA